rnacentral:rRNA from 1 species
GACGGGGGAUGCAAGUGUUAUCCGGAAUCACUGGGCGUAAAGCGUCUGUAGGUGGUCAAAUAAGUCAACUGUUAAAUCUUGAGGCUCAACCUCAAAAUCGCAGUCGAAACUAUUCGACUAGAGUAUAGUAGGGGUAAAGGGAAUUUCCAGUGGAGCGGUGAAAUGCGUAGAGAUCGGAAAGAACACCAACGGCGAAAGCACUCUGCUGGGCCGACACUGACGCUGAGAUGCGAAAGCGUGGGGAGCAAACAGG